rnacentral:rRNA from 1 species
GCUAAACAGCUAGCUUAAUUACCCAAAUAACUAAAACAACAUUAAAAACUUUUACAAAACCACAACAACCUAAACUAAAACAUUCUACCGCCCAAGUAUGUGAGACAGAAAAGGCACAACUAAGCCAUAGAAAAAGUACCGCAAGGGAACGCUGAAAGAGAAAUGAAACAAAUCAUCAAAGCACAA